rnacentral:misc_RNA from 1 species
AUGAAGAACGUAGCGAAAUGCGAUAAGUAAUGUGAAUUGCAGAAUUCAGUGAAUCAUCGAAUCUUUGAACGCACAUUGCGCCCGCCAGUAUUCUCGCGGGCAUGCCUGUCCGAGCGUCAUUUCAACCCUCGAACCCCUCCGGGGGGUCGGCGUUGGGGAUCGGCCCUUUACGGGGCCGGCCCCGAAAUACAGUGGCGGUCUCGCCGCAGCCUCUCCUGCGCAGUAGUUUGCACACUCGCAUCGGGAGCGCGGCGCGUCCACAGCCGUUAAACACCCCAAACUUCUGAAAUGUUGACCUCGGAUCAGGUAGGAAUACCCGCUGAACUUAAGCAUAUCAAUAAGCGGAGGA